GGCGGUACUAAUUUCAAAUACUAGAGUACUCUAGCAAAAUUUACUGAGACGUGUUAAGGCUUACUGGUAACAGCCGGAAACCCAUAGAUGCAACUCUGGGUAUGCCACUUGACAUUUCUGUAAAAAUGGGAUUCCUCCAGUGAUCGUCGCGUGCAGGAUUGCGGGACCAGUCAACGGCCUGAAGACGAAAAUGUGGAUAGUCGUGUUUGUCGAAUUUGCCCAGAAUGGACAAUGUCGGCGAGGUUGACGUCUCGUCGCCAUUCUGUUCGAGAAAUUUAUAUAUGUAAAUUUCGGAAUCCUGGCUUGCCACGGCUAAUCGGCUUCCAUCCGGCGAAAAUUUAAUACACGACACGCGCCCUUGUCCCACAUUUGCCUAUUAAUAUACAGUAUAUAAGCCGGCACAAAAAGUGCAAUAUUACAGAGAAAUUCGUAUUUAGUGCUUUACUGCGCAACAGGAAAUACCUGAAACAACUGAACCAGCUGUAAAUCUUUCUGCUUGUACACCUUUAGCUUUCCAUCCGCCGUGCCCAUGGCGAGGAACGGCGCAAACCCAUCCAGGGCCGACAACAUGGAAUCCUUGAGGAAUAAACGCCAACGGACGCUGUGCGCCUGGAGGUCGUAGCAGUUGGCGUUACCGUCCAUGCCCACGGUGACGGCCAGCGACAGACUGGGCGGUGACAAUGUCGACACGAACGGCUGAGCGCCGUCGGCAUCCUUUUCCUCUGUAUUAACCGACGGGAUUUCUUCCGUGAAGCUAAACGCCGUCAAGCUGGUAACGCGAUCAAAAUGACCGGCAGUUAGAAUAGUGGCGGUCAAAGGAAUUUCCAGUGCCGCGCCGAAUGCGUUGUCGGUUAGUGUCGGCAGUUCGGCUCUCAGGAUGCAAUUCGCUACCAUUAAAAUUUGAAAAAUUGAAUUUGAAAUUUGAAUAAUUUAGUUUUGAAAAAUUUAUGCAAUGCAAAACAGUUUGAACGUUAACGUUGAAAACGUUUUGUCGAAAAUAAUGCAGUCCGGCUACGUUAUUUAUUGGUUUCUACAGAGUUUAUGCGUUACCGGUUAAGCCCAUUCACUACGAUUUUGCUCGACUACAGAAUCGUUUUGGAACCCAUCUCGAAUAUCCGAAUUUUCAAAGGUCAAUCACUUUAAAAAUUACAGCUUUCUCAGAUUUAUUUUUACCGGUUGUGCCGAUUAGGAUGUUGUAAAGGUCACUGUUGUUGUCUGAUUGCGGUUGGUUAUCGGAUGCUGUUGCGGUGUUUCGUUGCGGUUUGUAGUUGCUGGAUAACAUCACACGAACACCCCCAAAUUCUUCCGCUAACUGCAAUUUACCCACAGCGACAUUUUGUGCAGCGGACGCUGUUACAGCGGCAUUGCCAUGGGAUCCCGAAUUUUGCUGCGGAAGUUGCGAAGGAAUGCCCAAAACGACAAUCUUCCCAUCGCGCGAACCGGCAGCCACUUGGUUAUCGUUCAACUGGCACACGGCGAACACUGGCACCUGUAUAUGAAGAGCAAUUUCAUAGUGCAUAAUUUAUGCAAACAAACGAUUGUAAAAACAUUCUGGCAAGAAGACGAUUUUUGUUGCGAAAAAUUUAUUUUCGAAGAAAGCUGUAAUGUUGCUGUGCAUGUCAAAUUGCUCUUGUUGGAAAAACUUUUUUUUAACCCAUGCAUUACCUUGU